GACGAACGCUGGCGGCGUGCUUAACACAUGCAAGUCGAACGGUAAGGCCCUUCGGGGUACACGAGUGGCGAACGGGUGAGUAACACGUGGGUGAUCUGCCCUGCACUUUGGGAUAAGCCUGGGAAACUGGGUCUAAUACCGGAUAGGACCACUGCCUGCAUGGGUGGGGGUGGAAAGAUUUUGCGGUGUGGGAUGGGCCCGCGGCCUAUCAGCUUGUUGGUGGGGUGAUGGCCUACCAAGGCGACGACGGGUAGCCGGCCUGAGAGGGUGACCGGCCACACUGGGACUGAGAUACGGCCCAGACUCCUACGGGAGGCAGCAGUGGGGAAUAUUGCACAAUGGGCGCAAGCCUGAUGCAGCGACGCCGCGUGAGGGAUGACGGCCUUCGGGUUGUAAACCUCUUUCAGCACCGACGAAGCGCAAGUGACGGUAGGUGCAGAAGAAGGACCGGCCAACUACGUGCCAGCCGCCGCCGUAAUAC
rnacentral:rRNA from 1 species